AUAGCGUAUAUUAAAGUUGUUGCAGUUAAAAAGCUCGUAGUUGAAUUUCGGAGGAGAGUUCCCGGUCUAGGUUCGCCUAGUACUGGGAGGCUCGAAUCUUUUUUCUGGGGAAGCAGGGUGCUCUUCGCUGAGCGCUCUGGGGAACCAGGACGAUUACCUUGAGAAAAAUAGAGUGUUCAAAGCAGGCGAUUGCUUGAAUACGUUAGCAUGGAAUAAUAAAAUAGGACUUUGGUUCUAUUUUGUUGGUUUUAAGGACCAAUGUCAUGAUGAAUAGGGACAGUUGGGGGCAUUCGUAUUCCGAAGCUAGAGGUGAAAUUCUUGGAUUUUCGGAAGACGAACUACUG
rnacentral:rRNA from 1 species